CAUGACUGCAGCUGUCCCAUUGCUUCAUGGUGGACCUUCUGAGCAUGACAUCUCGCUAAAGAUUUACACAGAUGUUCAAAAUGGGCAAGCAAAGAGGUGAACCACAAUGGCUACCCCUAAUAUCUGUGCUUGAGGUUUGACGUGAGGAUUUGGCAGAUCAAUCUCAAAGUUUGGAAAAGCUGUAUUCCCUUCUUCGGUGAACAAGACCUGAUGCUGCUUAAUUGCAGUAUUGCCUGCAAAGCAGUGGGAAGAUCAAACAGCCUUUCAGCCAGCUGCUCAACAUUGGUCACUGCCUUUGGAGAACGAUGAACCCAUCAGCGCGGCUGAGCGCUGCUGUAGAUCAUCUAGCACAUGCAGAGGUAAGCUGAGAGCCGGGAGUGACCUUGAGCACUGU